CUUGCCAUAAUCGGACAAGAGAAUGAUAAACAGCUUAAAAGCGCUUUUUUUGAUUUUUUGGGUGGUGGUGCAUGGCCGUUUCUAGUUGGUGGUUUGAGUUGUCUGCUUUAUUGCGUUAACGAGCGAGAUCGAGGCUGAUAAAUAGUGAGCACAUGAGGAGUAUUAUGAAACUAGAGCGUCAAGCGGCGUCGCAGUGGCGUCAAAACUGCUGUCGGCGUCAUUGGCGAAGGCGUUUUUCUUUUCAUGCGCGGCGUUUGUCGAGAUCAAAAUCGGCGAAACACUUUACGAUCACUUCUUAUUGGGAUUAUUCACGAUGAGUGAAAUGAAAUGCUCGGCAAGAACAGGUCUGAGAUGCCCCUUAGAAACUAUGGACCGCACGCGAGUUACAAUGAUAAAACGAACGAGUUAGAAGACGUCUUGGUGUGCGGCGUUUACGCGUCGCGCACUCGGAGCGUUUCAUAGCUGAUUUGAGAAAAAUUGG
rnacentral:rRNA from 1 species